GCCCGAAUGGCGAAAAUAGGUAGACGCAAGGGACUUAAAAUCCCUCGCCCGAUAGGGCGUGUCGGUUCAAAUCCGACUUCGGGCA
rnacentral:tRNA from 1 species